GACGAACGCUGGCGGCGUGCUUAACACAUGCAAGUCGAGCGGUAAGGCCCUUUCGGGGGUACGACGAGCGGCGAACGGGUGAGUAACACGUGGGUGACCUGCCCUCAGCUCUGGGAUAAGCCUGGGAAACUGGGUCUAAUACUGGAUAUGACUCCACGGUGCAUGUCGUGGGGUGGAAAGCCUUGUGCGGCUGAGGAUGGGCCCGCGGCCUAUCAGCUUGUUGGUGGGGUGANGGCCUACCAAGGCGACGACGGGUAGCCGGCCUGAGAGGGCGACCGGCCACACUGGGACUGAGACACGGCCCAGACUCCUACGGGAGGCAGCAGUGGGGAAUCUUGCGCAAUGGGCGAAAGCCUGACGCAGCGACGCCGCGUGAGGGAUGACGGCCUGGUU
rnacentral:rRNA from 1 species